rnacentral:rRNA from 1 species
GUGGAUAGUGGCGACGGGUGAGUAACACGUGAGCAACCUGCCCCUGACUCUGGGAUAAGCGCUGGAAACGGCGUCUAAUACUGGAUAUGAGCUGCGAUCGCAUGGUCAGCAGUUGGAAAGAUUUUUCGGUCUGGGAUGGGCUCACGGCCUAUCAGCUUGUUGGUGAGGUAAUGGCUCACCAAGGCGUCGACGGGUAGCCGGCCUGAGAGGGUGACCGGCCACACUGGGACUGAGACACGGCCCAGACUCCUACGGGAGGCAGCAGUGGGGAAUAUUGCACAAUGGGCGAAAGCCUGAUGCAGCAACGCCGCGUGAGGGAUGACGGCCUUCGGGUUGUAAACCUCUUUUAGCAGGGAAGAAGCGAAAGUGACGGUACCUGCAGAAAAAGCGCCGGCUAACUACGUGCCAGCAGCCGCGGUAAUACGUAGGGCGCAAGCGUUAUCCGGAAUUAUUGGGCGUAAAGAGCUCGUAGGCGGUUUGUCGCGUCUGCUGUGAAAUCCCGAGGCUCAACCUCGGGUCUGCAGUGGGUACGGGCAGACUAGAGUGCGGUAGGGGAGAUUGGAAUUCCUGGUGUAGCGGUGGAAUGCGCAGAUAUCAGGAGGAACACCGAUGGCGAAGGCAGAUCUCUGGGCCGUUACUGACGCUGAGGAGCGAAAGGGUGGGGAGCAAACAGGCUUAGAUACCCUGGUAGUCCACCCCGUAAACGUUGGGAACUAGUUGUGGGGUCCAUUCCACGGAUUCCGUGACGCAGCUAACGCAUUAAGUUCCCCGCCUGGGGAGUACGGCCGCAAGGCUAAACUCAAAAGGAAUUUGACGGGGACCCGCACAGCGCGAGCAUGCGGAUUAUUCGAUGCAACGCGA